UACGUAGGGGUGCAAGCGUUGUCCGGAAUUAUUGGGCGAAAGAGCUCGUAGGCGGUCUGUUGCGUCGCUGUGAAAACCCGGGGCUCAACUCCGGGCCUGCAGCCGAUACGGGCAGACUAGAGUUCGGCAGGGGGAGACUGGAAUUCCUGGUGUAGCGGUGAAAUGCGCAGAUAUCAGGAGGAACACCGGUGGCGAAGGCGGGUCUCUGGGCCAUA
rnacentral:rRNA from 1 species